GAUGAACGCUAGCUACAGGCUUAACACAUGCAAGUCGAGGGGCAGCAUUUCAGUUUGCUUGCAAACUGGAGAUGGCGACCGGCGCACGGGUGAGUAACACGUAUCCAACCUGCCGAUAACUCGGGGAUAGCCUUUCGAAAGAAAGAUUAAUACCCGAUGGUAUAAUCAGACCGCAUGGUCUUGUUAUUAAGGAAUUUCGGUUAUCGAUGGGGAUGCGUUCCAUUAGGCAGUUGGUGAGGUAACGGCUCACCAAACCUUCGAUGGAUAGGGGUUCUGAGAGGAAGGUCCCCCACAUUGGAACUGAGACACGGUCCAAACUCCUACGGGAGGCAGCAGUGAGGAAUAUUGGUCAAUGGGCGCAGGCCUGAACCAGCCAAGUAGCGUGAAGGAUGACUGCCCUAUGGGUUGUAAACUUCUUUUAUAUGGGAAUAAAGUUUUCCACGUGUGGAAUUUUGUAUGUACCAUAUGAAUAAGGAUCGGCUAACUCCGUGCCAGCAGCCGCGGUAAUACGGAGGAUCCGAGCGUUAUCCGGAUUUAUUGGGUUUAAAGGGAGCGUAGGUGGACAGUUAAGUCAGUUGUGAAAGUUUGCGGCUCAACCGUAAAAUUGCAGUUGAUACUGGCUGUCUUGAGUACAGUAGAGGUGGGCGGAAUUCGUGGUGUAGCGGUGAAAUGCUUAGAUAUCACGAAGAACUCCGAUUGCGAAGGCAGCUCACUGGACUGCAACUGACACUGAUGCUCGAAAGUGUGGGUAUCAAACAGGAUUAGAUACCCUGGUAGUCCACACAGUAAACGAUGAAUACUCGCUGUUUGCGAUAUACAGUAAGCGGCCAAGCGAAAGCAUUAAGUAUUCCACCUGGGGAGUACGCCGGCAACGGUGAAACUCAAAGGAAUUGACGGGGGCCCGCACAAGCGGAGGAACAUGUGGUUUAAUUCGAUGAUACGCGAGGAACCUUACCCGGGCUUAAAUUGCAUUUGAAUAUAUUGGAAACAGUAUAGCCGUAAGGCAAAUGUGAAGGUGCUGCAUGGUUGUCGUCAGCUCGUGCCGUGAGGUGUCGGCUUAAGUGCCAUAACGAGCGCAACCCUUAUCUUUAGUUACUAACAGGUCAUGCUGAGGACUCUAGAGAGACUGCCGUCGUAAGAUGUGAGGAAGGUGGGGAUGACGUCAAAUCAGCACGGCCCUUACGUCCGGGGCUACACACGUGUUACAAUGGGGGGUACAGAAGGCAGCUACCUGGUGACAGGAUGCUAAUCCCAAAAGCCUCUCUCAGUUCGGAUCGAAGUCUGCAACCCGACUUCGUGAAGCUGGAUUCGCUAGUAAUCGCGCAUCAGCCAUGGCGCGGUGAAUACGUUCCCGGGCCU
rnacentral:rRNA from 1 species